rnacentral:misc_RNA from 1 species
GUUUUCCUUCUAAACUAGCUUCUUCAUUCAAUCCCCCUCUCUCUCUCUCUUAACACAUUCAAACAUUGUUAGCUAUCUUCUCAUGGAACCUUGAAAUUUCCUGUUCUUGCUACAAAGAGGAAAGGAAACUAAAAGAAGAGGGAGACGCACAAGAUUUUUGUAUUCUUUAUAGUAUUAGAAAAUGUCUUUCUUUACUGGUUUGAUCAUUGGAAUGUCCAUCGGGAUUGGGUUGAUGGUAGCAUAUGCUCGUUACCAGAAUAUCCGAUCUUUACGUCGCUCUCAAUUGGCCAAGACAGUGGCUGCAUUCGCGAGGAUGACAGUGCAAGAUUCAAGAAAACUUCUGCCAGACGAGUUCUAUCCACCUUGGGUUGUCUUUUCACGGAGGCAAAAGUUAACUUGGCUGAAUCUCCAGCUUGACAAGAUUUGGCCUUACGUUGACGAGGCGGCAUCAGAGUUGAUAAAAAGUAAUGUGGAGCCAAUUCUUGAACAAUAUAGACCGGUUAUACUAUCAUCUCUCAAGUUUUCCAAAUUAACCCUUGGCACUGUGGCUCCACAGUUUACAGGAAUUUCCAUUCUCGAGCAAGGUGGAGAUCCUGGGAGUGUCACCAUGGAGUUGGAGAUGCAGUGGGAUGGCAAUCCAAACAUUGUACUUGAUAUCAACACCCGAGUUGGUUUAGCACUUCCCAUACAGGUAAAAAAUAUUGGAUUCACAGGGCUUUUCAGGUUAAUCUUCAAACCACUGGUUGACGAGUUUCCUGGUUUUGGAGCUGUUUCUUAUUCCUUGAGAGAAAAGAAAAAGCUGGAUUUUACACUUAAAGUUAUUGGUGGUGAGAUAUCAGCAAUCCCUGGGAUAUCUGAUGCUAUUGAGGAAACAAUUAGGGAUGCCGUUGAAGAUUCUAUAACAUGGCCAGUUAGGAAAAUUGUAUCGAUAUUACCUGGCGAUUAUAGGUAUGCUAAUUUUACCAGGAUCUUAUUUCAAACUUAGUAAAGACUAAAGAUCAAAAUUCUUUUCUUCCGUCUUUCAAUAUAUCAAAAUAUGCAGUAAUAUCUGCCAAAUGCUUAGUUGUGAUCAAGGUGCAAUAUAGCAAACUCCUAAAGCACAAGACCGCAGAUUGGGAUAUUUUGCCUGAACUUUGAAAACAUGAUAGACCAAUUCAUUUUCUUUAAAGUCCUUGGUGAUUUGUACUGAAAAGCAAAAGUUUUUGUUUUCUGAUGUAAUCUGAGAUCAUCAAUCAUUAUAUUCGUUUUAUUAGUGACCUGGAGGUGAAGCCUGUUGGUAUAUUAGAGGUGAAGCUAGUGCAGGGCAAGGAGUUGACCAAUAAAGAUAUUAUUGGGAAAUCUGAUCCUUUUGCAGUCUUGUUUGUACGUCCACUGCGUGACAGAACAAAAACCAGCAAAACAAUUAAUAACCAGUUGAAUCCUAUCUGGAAUGAACACUUUGAGUUCAUAGUUGAAGAUCCCUUAACUCAACACUUGACGGUAAGAGUUUUUGAUGAUGAAGGAGUUCAGGCCUCUGAACUCAUUGGUUGUGCUCAAGUGGCACUAAGGGACCUUGAACCUGGAAAAGUGAAGGAUGUAUGGUUGAAACUAGUCAAGGAUUUGGAGGUCCAGAGAGAUGCUAAAUAUAGGGGUCAGGUUCACUUGGAGCUCUUGUACUGUCCAUACGGCACAGAGAGCAGCCUUAAAAAUCCUUUUAAUCCUGAUUUCCAGCUAACCACCUUAGAGAAGGCUAUUAAGGCUGGAACUCACGAAACAGACGAUGCUGCUCUUAAAAUAUCAUCAUCUCAGAAGAAAAAUGUCAUCGUGCGAGGAGUGCUAUCGGUUAAUGUGGUAGCUGCAGAAAACUUGCCAGCAGCAGACUUGAUGGGAAAGGCUGAUCCUUAUGUUGUCCUUCAGAUGAAAAAAUCUGAUACAAAAGUGAAGACUAGGGUUGUAAAUGAAAGCCUGAAUCCUGUUUGGAAUCAAACAUUUGACUUUGUUGUAGAGGAUGCAUUGCAUGAUAUGCUAAUUUUGGAAGUUUGGGACCAUGACACUUUUGGAAAAGAUAAAAUUGGAAGAUGCAUCAUGACACUCACCAGGGUUCUUUUAGAAGGGGAAAUUCAGGACAGUUUUCCACUAGAUGGUGCUAAAUCAGGGAAGCUUUUUUUGCAUCUCAAGUGGACGCCACAGCUAAAAUUCAGGGAUCCUUGAUAAAUCAGAUUAGAUAAACGACACCUUUCAUUUUUUUUAAAUACAAGAUCCCUGCUUGUUCUUCUCUCUGCAUACAAGAAGGCCAAACAAUAAGAUCUCAACAUAUGUGAUUGUGAAGCUGUUAAAAAAAUUUAU